UACGAAGGGGGGCUAGCGUUGCUCGGAAUCACUGGGCGUAAAGCGCACGUAGGCGGAUCGCUAAGUCAGGGGUGAAAUCCUGGAGCUCAACUCCAGAACUGCCUUUGAUACUGGCGACCUUGAGUCCGGGAGAGGUGAGUGGAACUGCGAGUGUAGAGGUGAAAUUCGUAGAUAUUCGCAAGAACACCAGUGGCGAAGGCGGCUCACUGGUCCGGUACUGACGCUGAGGUGCGAAAGCGUGGGGAGCAAACAGGG
rnacentral:rRNA from 1 species